rnacentral:rRNA from 1 species
UACGUAGGGAGCGAGCGCUGUCCGGAAUUACUGGGCGUAAAGGGCGCGUAGGCGGGAUUUUAAGUCAGUUGUGAAAACUCCGGGCUCAACCUGGAGACUGCAGUUGAAACUGAAAUUCUUGAGGACAGGAGAGGAAAGCGGAAUUCCUAGUGUAGCGGUGAAAUGCGUAGAUAUUAGGAGGAACACCAGUGGCGAAGGCGGCUUUCUGGACUGUAACUGACGCUGAGGCGCGAAAGCGUGGGGAGUGAACGGGAUUAGAUACCCCGGUAAUCCACGCUGUAAACGAUGGGUACUAGGUGUAGGAGGUAUCGACCCCUUCUGUGCCGGAGUUAACGCAAUAAGUACCCCGCCUGGGGAGUACGGCCGCAAGGUUGAA